rnacentral:rRNA from 1 species
UUCGUAGGCGGUGUGGCAAGUCGGGAGUGAAAUCUAUGGGCUUAACUCAUAGGCUGCUUCCGAAACUGCUGUGCUUGAGUGUGGGAGAGGCGCGUGGAAUUGCAGGUGUAGCGGUGAAAUGCGUAGAUAUCUGCAGGAACACCCGUGGCGAAAGCGGCGCGCUGGACCACAACUGACGCUGAGGAACGAAAGCUAGGGGAGCAAACAGGAUUAGAUACCCUGGUAGUCCUAGCCCUAAACGAUCAGGACCUGGGGUGCCACCCGUUCGGGUGUCGUCCCGGAGCUAACGCGUUAAGUCCUGCACCUGGGGAGUACGGUCGCAAGACUGAA